GUGGGGAAUCUUCCGCAAUGGACGAAAGUCUGACGGAGCAACGCCGCGUGAGUGAAGAAGGUUUUCGGAUCGUAAAGCUCUUUCGUUAGGGACGAACGUGCUCUUUGUGAAUAAUGAGGAGUAAUGACGGUACCUAAAUAAGAAGCCACGGCUAACUACGUGCCAGCAGCCGCGGUAAUACGUAGGUGGCAAGCGUUGUCCGGAAUUAUUGGGCGUAAAGCGCGCGCAGGCGGGAUAUCAAGUCUGUCUUAAAAGUGCGAGGCUCAACCUCGUGAGGGGACAGAAACUGGUAUUCUUGAGUGUCGGAGAGGAAAGUGGAAUUCCAAGUGUAGCGGUGAAAUGUGUAGAGAUUUGGAAGAACACCAGUGGCGAAGGCGACUUUCUGGACGAUGUCUGACGCUGAGGCGCGAAAGCUAGGGGAGCGAACGGGAUUAGAAACCCUGGUAGUCC
rnacentral:rRNA from 1 species